rnacentral:lncRNA from 1 species
GUGGAUGUUUUUUUUCUAUAUGUUUUUCCUUUUUUCCUUUUUAAUAAAAACUUAAAUCAAUUACAAAUUAUUAAUAUUAAUUCGGUUAAUUGAAGGGUAUAAUAGUAUCAAAGAAAAUAUAAAUCCUAAUUACCUAAAUAAUCUUCUACAAGUUUUAUUGAGACAAACCUAAGUUGAAAGUGUUUCUUUUUUCCAAUUUUCCCUUCUAUUAAUUCCCUAUCUAAAUAGGAUACUUAUAUAGGGG